rnacentral:autocatalytically_spliced_intron from 1 species
GGUUUUUAUUUGGUGCGCCCAGCAUGGGCGCACUCCUGCGGGUGCAAGUCCCGCCAUGAGCUGGUCACAGCGAAUGAAGCGAAGCGCAACUGCGUGAGGGCGACCGAGCGUGGGGAGGAAGCGCGGAGCGUAAAUCGUGAGCCGAUGAACAAGAACCGCAUAGAAGGCGCUGCCGAGCAGGGCAAGCGGGCCAAUAACCGCGAAGCUCUUGUGACCAAGGCGAGGCGGCGUAGAUGCGGCGGUUGUGCGGUGAAGGAGUGCGUUCUUACCUGGGGAGAUCUCGCCUCAUGCCUGAAAGGGCGACGGUGUCGAGCCGGAGCGAGAAGUCAGCAGAGGUCGUAGUAGCCGCAGUAGCGGGGCCGCAGAGGCCAGAUGCGAACCGGUGAAGGACCGAACGAGAGGAAGUGUCGGAAACGAUGUUGAUGUCGGAGGCCAUGCACCAGAGGCCCGCGUGCGCGGGGCGGCAUGCCGCAGGCCAGGGUGAAGCCCCGGCCAAGGUAUCCCGUGGUGAAGCCGAAGGCCCGCGACACGAGAUGGAAGGCACAGGGUCGGCGCUGCUGGAAGCGGCGCUGACGCGAGAGAACCUGCGGCAAGCGUUCAAGCGGGUGCGAGCCAACCGGGGAUCGGCGGGCGUGGACGGUCUGGACAUCGACCAGACGGCGCGCAAGCUGGUGACCGAGUGGCCUGCGAUCCGGGAGCAAUUGCUGCGGGGGACGUACCGGCCCAGUCCGGUACGGCGGGUGAUGAUUCCGAAGCCGGAUGGGAGCCAACGAGAAUUGGGUAUUCCGACGGUGACGGAUAGACUGAUCCAGCAGGCGUUGUUGCAAGUGCUGCAACCGCUGCUUGAUCCGAGCUUCAGUGAGCACAGCUACGGGUUCAGGCCCGGAAGACGGGCGCAUGACGCGGUGUUGGCCGCGCAAUCGUUCGUGCAGUCGGGCCGGCGGAUAGUGGUGGACGUGGACCUGGAGAAAUUCUUCGACCGGGUCAACCACGACAUUCUGAUCGACCGCCUACGCAAACGCAUCGACGACGCGGGAGUCAUCCGGCUGAUUCGUGCGUACCUGAACGCGGGGAUCAUGGAUGGCGGGGUGGUCAUCGAGCGGGACCAGGGGACGCCGCAAGGCGGGCCGCUGUCGCCGCUGUUGGCCAACGUCCUGCUCGACGAGGUGGACCGGGCGCUGGAGCGGCGGGGCCAUUGCUUCGUGCGCUACGCCGAUGACUGCAACGUGUACGUACGCAGUCGGCGGGCGGGCGAGCGGGUGAUGAAUCUGCUGCGCAAGCUGUACGGCCGGCUCAAGCUGAGGGUCAACGAAGCCAAGAGCGCGGUGGCCAGUGCGUUCGGCCGCAAGUUCCUGGGGUAUGCCUUCUGGGCAGCGCCGAAGGGACAGGUCAAGCGCAAAGUGGCGGCCAAGCCGUUGGCGACGUUCAAGCAGCGGAUCAGGCAACUGACGCGGCGCAGCGGUGGGCGCAGCAUGGCGCAAGUCGUGCAGGAGCUGCGUCCGUAUGUGCUGGGCUGGAAGGCUUACUUCGGACUGUCGCAGACACCGAGAGUCUGGCGUUCGCUGGGCGAAUGGCUGCGGCAUCGGUUGCGUGCCGUCCAGCUCAAACAGUGGAAACGCGGCAAGACCCUGUUUCGGGAACUGCGCGCCCUGGGGGCCAGCCACGAGGUGGCGCAACGGAUCGCGGCCAACAGCCGCCGAUGGUGGCGCAACAGCGGCAAGCUCCUGAACAGCGUGCUCAACCUGGCGUGGUUCGACCGGCUUGGCCUACCCCGACUCGCCUGACCUCAAGCUCUCGAACCGCCCGGUGCGGACCCGCAUGCCGGGUGGUGUGGCAGGGGCGCUGCCUUGACGGCAGCCCCCUAUGCCGAU